GGGUUGUGAGGUUAAGCGACUAAGCGUACACGGUGGAUGCCCUGGCAGUCAGAGGCGAUGAAGGGCGUGCUAAUCUGCGAUAAGCGCCGGUAAGGUGAUAUGAACCGUUAUAACCGGCGAUACCCGAAUGGGGAAACCCAGUGUGAUUCGUCACACUAUCAUUAACUGAAUCCAUAGGUUAAUGAGGCGAACCGGGGGAACUGAAACAUCUAAGUACCCCGAGGAAAAGAAAUCAACCGAGAUUCCCCCAGUAGCGGCGAGCGAACGGGGAGGAGCCCAGAGCCUGAAUCAGCAUGUGUGUUAGUGGAAGCGUCUGGAAAGGCGCGCGAUACAGGGUGACAGCCCCGUACACAAAAGCGCAUGUGCUGUGAGCUCGAUGAGUAGGGCGGGACACGUGGUAUCCUGUCUGAAUAUGGGGGGACCAUCCUCCAAGGCUAAAUACUCCUGACUGACCGAUAGUGAACCAGUACCGUGAGGGAAAGGCGAAAAGAACCCCGGCGAGGGGAGUGAAAAAGAACCUGAAACCGUGUACGUACAAGCAGUGGGAGNNNNNNNNNNNNNNNNNNNNNNNNNNNNNNNNNNNNNNNNNNNNNNNNNNNNNNNNNNNNNNNNGGGCGUUAAGUUGCAGGGUAUAGACCCGAAACCCGGUGAUCUAGCCAUGGGCAGGUUGAAGGUUGGGUAACACUAACUGGAGGACCGAACCGACUAAUGUUGAAAAAUUAGCGGAUGACCUGUGGCUGGGGGUGAAAGGCCAAUCAAACCGGGAGAUAGCUGGUUCUCCCCGAAAGCUAUUUAGGUAGCGCCUCGUGAAUUCAUCUCCGGGGGUAGAGCACUGUUUCGGCUAGGGGGCCAUCCCGGCUUACCAACCCGAUGCAAACUGCGAAUACCGGAGAAUGUUAUCACGGGAGACACACGGCGGGUGCUAACGUCCGUCGUGAAGAGGGAAACAACCCAGACCGCCAGCUAAGGUCCCAAAGUCAUGGUUAAGUGGGAAACGAUGUGGGAAGGCCCAGACAGCCAGGAUGUUGGCUUAGAAGCAGCCAUCAUUUAAAGAAAGCGUAAUAGCUCACUGGUCGAGUCGGCCUGCGCGGAAGAUGUAACGGGGCUAAACCAUGCACCGAAGCUGCGGCAGCGACACUGUGUGUUGUUGGGUAGGGGAGCGUUCUGUAAGCCUGCGAAGGUGGCCUGUGAGGGUUGCUGGAGGUAUCAGAAGUGCGAAUGCUGACAUAAGUAACGAUAAAGCGGGUGAAAAGCCCGCUCGCCGGAAGACCAAGGGUUCCUGUCCAACGUUAAUCGGGGCAGGGUGAGUCGACCCCUAAGGCGAGGCCGAAAGGCGUAGUCGAUGGGAAACGGGUUAAUAUUCCCGUACUUGGUGUUACUGCGAAGGGGGGACGGAGAAGGCUAUGUUGGCCGGGCGACGGUUGUCCCGGUUUAAGCGUGUAGGUGUGUGUUCCAGGUAAAUCCGGUUCACUUUAACACUGAGGCGUGACGACGAGGCACUACGGUGCUGAAGCAACAAAUGCCCUGCUUCCAGGAAAAGCCUCUAAGCAUCAGGUAACAUCAAAUCGUACCCCAAACCGACACAGGUGGUCAGGUAGAGAAUACCAAGGCGCUUGAGAGAACUCGGGUGAAGGAACUAGGCAAAAUGGUGCCGUAACUUCGGGAGAAGGCACGCUGACACGUAGGUGAAGUGAUUUACUCAUGGAGCUGAAGUCAGUCGAAGAUACCAGCUGGCUGCAACUGUUUAUUAAAAACACAGCACUGUGCAAACACGAAAGUGGACGUAUACGGUGUGACGCCUGCCCGGUGCCGGAAGGUUAAUUGAUGGGGUCAGCGCAAGCGAAGCUCCUGAUCGAAGCCCCGGUAAACGGCGGCCGUAACUAUAACGGUCCUAAGGUAGCGAAAUUCCUUGUCGGGUAAGUUCCGACCUGCACGAAUGGCGUAAUGAUGGCCAGGCUGUCUCCACCCGAGACUCAGUGAAAUUGAACUCGCUGUGAAGAUGCAGUGUACCCGCGGCAAGACGGAAAGACCCCGUGAACCUUUACUAUAGCUUGACACUGAACAUUGAGCCUUGAUGUGUAGGAUAGGUGGGAGGCUUUGAAGUGUGGACGCCAGUCUGCAUGGAGCCGACCUUGAAAUACCACCCUUUAAUGUUUGAUGUUCUAACGUGGACCCGUUACCCGGGUUGCGGACAGUGUCUGGUGGGUAGUUUGACUGGGGCGGUCUCCUCCUAAAGAGUAACGGAGGAGCACGAAGGUUGGCUAAUCCUGGUCGGACAUCAGGAGGUUAGUGCAAUGGCAUAAGCCAGCUUGACUGCGAGCGUGACGGCGCGAGCAGGUGCGAAAGCAGGUCAUAGUGAUCCGGUGGUUCUGAAUGGAAGGGCCAUCGCUCAACGGAUAAAAGGUACUCCGGGGAUAACAGGCUGAUACCGCCCAAGAGUUCAUAUCGACGGCGGUGUUUGGCACCUCGAUGUCGGCUCAUCACAUCCUGGGGCUGAAGUAGGUCCCAAGGGUAUGGCUGUUCGCCAUUUAAAGUGGUACGCGAGCUGGGUUUAGAACGUCGUGAGACAGUUCGGUCCCUAUCUGCCGUGGGCGCUGGAGAACUGAGGGGGGCUGCUCCUAGUACGAGAGGACCGGAGUGGACGCAUCACUGGUGUUCGGGUUGUCAUGCCAAUGGCACUGCCCGGUAGCUAAAUGCGGAAGAGAUAAGUGCUGAAAGCAUCUAAGCACGAAACUUGCCCCGAGAUGAGUUCUCCCUGAGACUUAGAGUCUCCUGAAGGAACGUUGAAGACGACGACGUUGAUAGGCCGGGUGUGUAAGCGCAGCGAUGCGUUGAGCUAACCGGUACUAAUGAACCGUGAGGCUUAACCUUACAACGCCGAAG
rnacentral:rRNA from 1 species